rnacentral:rRNA from 1 species
AUUGAACGCUGGCGGCAGGCUUAACACAUGCAAGUCGAGCGUGCGGCGGACGGGUGUGUAAUGUCUGGGAACUUGCUUGUUGGAGGGGGAUACCUAUUGGAACCGGUAGCUAAUACCGCUUAUCCUUAAAUGUGCCCUGAUGGGAUUGGCUAGGAGGUGGGGUAAUGGCUCACCUAGGCCACGAUCCCUGACUGGUCUGCGAGGUUGACCGGCCAAACGGGAACUGGGACACGGCCCAGACUCCUACGGGGGGCAGCAGAGGGGAAUAUUGCACAAUGGGCGCAAGCCUGAUGCAGCCAUGCCGCGUGUGUGAAGAAGGCCUUCGGGUUGUAAAGCACUUUCAGCGAGGAGGCGUUACUCGCAGAGGAAGCACCGGCUAACUCCGUGCCAGCAGCCGCGGUAAUUC